UAAUGCAUUAAAUCAUUUUUUUUUUAAUUUUCAUUUUCAAAUUAGUUAAGUAUAAGUUUCCGUAUCAUAUCGAAAUCUUUUCCCUUUCAUUGCCUUGCCUCUCCCUCAAAUCUUUUCAUCAACCUCAUAGGAAUUUUGUGAUUGCACGGCACGGCACGGCACUCCUAUCUUGAUUCUCUAUUUCAACCACCUUGCUUUGAUUACAUGGGUGAUAUCAUUCUCAAGGUCCCCACAUUUUGUAUGGAAGAAUUUAUUAUGAAACAUUGGUCCUCUAUUGAAACAAACAAAACCUCUGCUGUCACUGGUGUGAUAAAAAUUGCAAGCAUUUUUAACUAUAGCAUUGCUUGUACAGAUCUUAAAAUCAUGUGACUAUAGUACUUUGGCAAUUGGUGAUGGUGGGAAUGAUAUGAGAAUGAUACAACAAGCUGACAUUGGGGUUGGCAUUAGUGGGAGAGAAGGACUGCAGGCAGCUGAUUAUAGUAUUGGAAGUGAGUAUUUCUUUUUUUUACUGUGUGCAAGUCAUGUCUCAGUCAUGUCAUGUUUGCGUUGCGUAUUUUAUUAAUAUAAGCUGGAUGCUUAAUGUACUGACUUGAGUUUGAAAACUUGUCUCUAGCUGCUUCUUGUUUCUGCAAAGGAACUGCUGUUGUACUUCCAGCCAGGCACCAGCCUGUUAAAACCAAAUCCUCUACCAUGUUUGGAUGCUAAUGUUUAUGCUAAUGGUUUCAAAAUAGGUGUUCUCUAGCUGUUGGACAUGAAUGAAACCUAUUUAAAUUUUAGGAACAUUAGGAUUUCUAUCAAAACUUGAUAGCAUUAAAUAAACUAAAUGCUGGUUAAUGGUUUAUGCUUAAUAGUAAGAUACAUGAUUUGACUAUUAGCGCACUUCAGAUUUGUAAUUGUGAGAAACAGAUCUACAUGAAGACACGAUCAAAGACUUGUACAUGGUUUCUGGAAACAAGAUUUAUGAAGAAAUUGUUAUAACAAAGCCUAGAUGAGAGAUAUUGUUAGCUGCUUGUAAGAUACCAUUUUUCUUGUCCAGUGUUUUAUGAGGCCUGAUUUUUCCCGUUUUCCCAUCUUGUUUGGUGGAGGAAGAAACUGUAAAAUAAAUUAGAGAUUUUAGCCUGGAAUGUAAAAUGCAGGAACUUUGCCAAGGAGUUGAAAUAAAUUAGAGAUUUUAGCUUGGAAUGUACUUAGGAAAAUCUUAAUGUGCCAGCUCUUUUGGGAAUGCUGACAUGACAGCCUUGGUAUUCCAAAGUGCAGCAUCUCCCAAAAGUGGAUUCCAAAGAGAGAACCACUUUCCAAUCUCUGUGCAGUUAUGCUGUUUGUUGGCAGAUCAAGGAGUGGAGAGUGGCAUAGUUUCUAUAAAAAAAACUAGUUCUUGAUAGUUCAUAUGGGCUGGAACUAUUAUAAGGGAUUUGAAGCGACCGCUUCACCCCUGGAUUUGGCAGCUUGAAAAACCCGAGAGCAGCUUCGAAAAUGAGCUGGAACUAUUUUCCAGACGGCACUUCAUGUAUUUACUAUUUUCCAGACUGCAGCUCAUUGCUGCGGCUGGGAUGGUUCCAAUUCUAGCUAUAAAGUACUUCCGUUAUACAUACAAACCCAGUAAAAUCAAUACUCUUCAGCAAGCAGAACGUUUAGGUGACCAAUAUCGUCUCUUGGGAAUAUCGAGCGACAAUAACGAGUGAUCCUGAAAGAUGUUGCUCGAGUAUCAAUUACUCAAUCCAAGAACAUAAAUCCAGUUUACGAACCUCUCCUGUCUGAUUCGCCAAGCUCUAGGAGGUUGUUGGGAUCAGGUACUCCUUUCGAUUUCUUUCAAUCACAGUCCAGAUUGUCUUCAAUCUACUCAAGAAACUGGAAAGACAACUGAGUUUUAGGAGAUGUUCAUUGCGAUAAACACACAUUUAGAUGCCGUAGUUGAACUGUAAAUCCCAACCUAGUUAUAGGGGGUGUGUCAGCAUUACGUAUAGUCUCUAGAUCGUAAAGGCUACAUCCCCCCCUUCUUACAUAGCAAGAACAAUUUAUCUUCAGUAAAUGAUUGUAGCUUGUCGUGAAGCAAAUUGUAAAUGAAUGCAUCGAUACUUCUAGAAUGGAAAGCUUCAUGGCAAACAUUUCUGAACUUAA